rnacentral:lncRNA from 1 species
UCACGCUCCCUAAAAUCUCGUCGCUCUCGCUUGCGCAGUCGAACGGUCGAUCCCCUCUCUCCCCCCGCCCCCCCCCCCCGCCCCCUUCCACUAGUCCGUCCCGCCGUAAUGCAUGACAUCGGCCUCUCCGCCCGCGCCGCCGGCGCCUCCUCGUCGUCCUCGCCCUCCUCUCCCUAUGCUGGCGCAUCCUCCGCCACCUCCAUCGGCGACGACGACGAGUCCAAGACCCGGAAGGCGAACCCAGCCUUCGGGGCCGCCGCCUAUGCCCGUCUCCACUCCUCCCCCCGCGCCUCUGCCUCCCUCCUCCUCCUCCUCGCCGUCGCCGCCACCACCACCGCCUUCCUCAUCG